GUGAAUCAUCAAAUUUUUGAACGCAUAUUGCACUCUCUGGUAUUCCGGAGAGUAUGCCUAUUUGAGGGUCAUUUGAAAUAAUAUAAAUUCCAAGAUUUCUCGGAAUUUAAAAUGGGUUGUCCAUUUUUUGUGGUCUCCAAAAAUCAAGAACAAGCUCUUUUCCUGGGGUUGGUUGUUACUUUCAGUUACCUCGUGACUUAACCAGUAAUAAUCGGCGGU
rnacentral:misc_RNA from 1 species